AGGUAUUUUGAUCCCAUUUACAUUCAGCGAUAUCACAUUUACAUUAUGCAUCAUAAAUCUUGGAUUAAAGGCUUCAGGCCUGCAAGUCCCUUUAUGCAGCACUUCCACUGACAGGAACGACACCAGAAUGAGACUUGAUAUACAAUUCCACACCAGCAGGGGGAGCAGUGCAGCCACAAAUAAUAAUAGAGGUACAGACAGAACACCCUGUGACGACGUUGCGCAGUUUACUCUUUUUUAUUCCUUUUUACACACAGUACUUGGAACCUUGUGGCCUGGAUGUGGCCCUUGAAAACAUUUAUUGCUCCUCUUCCAUGACACGAUCAUUUUA